UUUGGUUGAAAAAAUGAAGGUGUUACUGUUGAAGUAAUUUCUACUUGAUUUCAAUUUGCCUAUAAAACUUGUUGACUGGUGCUCAACAAGUUGGGUUUUUGUAGCUUGAGUUGGCGUAUAAUUUAGGUUCGUUUUUUGCAUGUGAGUGUUUUAAUGGAUUGGAUCUUCUACCUGUAUGUUUGUCAAAUCUCAAUCAUGUUUUUGAGAUGAGUUGUGCAGUAGUGUUGGUUGAAAAUUAAUAUGUUAUUUAUUCAUUGAAAGCAUAUUGUUUCCCGAUGGUGAGUACUUGACCAAAUUAUAAUUUGCAGCAGUUUUGUCUUGACAAUUUAUGUUUCUCUUCUUUUCAAAUUGCACAAGGAAAAAGCCGCACCCAACUCGUUUCCCUGUGAAGAACAAAUUUGAGGUUAACAAUUACACAAUGUGUUUUAGCUGGUUUGUGCAAACACAGAUGUGCAAGUCAUACACUGGCAUUGGAGACCAUUUUGUGCAUAAUGUAAUGUGUAGACAGGGAGUUCUUUGAGAUGCCUUAUGAAGACAAAAGCAAAGCUUCUAUUAUGAAAAUGCUAAGCAAGCUUGCAGUAAACUGUACACAUCAUUGAUUAUACUUGUUAUUAGGCCCUAAGAAUUAGUAAGGACAUAAGAUAUCAUGUAUUCUUCUUGUGGAGCCGUAUGUUUCUAAUAUUUGUGUAAUGUACUUGAUAUUAUUUUUGAGGUCAUUAUUAUAAUGAUAUG
rnacentral:lncRNA from 1 species